UAAAAAUUAUAAAUAAAUUCUUCGGUUACAUAAUCUGUUUAAUCUCUGUGUUGCAUAUCUAUAAAUAACACCAACAAUUUCCGACCGCCUUUCCUUUGCAAAUAAUUUCCAAGAAUCGGUAAUGAUAUUAUAUCACAAUGGAACACACCUGCGAAACCCACUUACCCGGCUGCUUUUCGCCCAUCCUACGCUUCUGCCGUUUCCUUAUCCCAUUUCCAUUGUGACAACUUGAAGGGAAUUUUCUCUCCGGCUGAGCUUUGACUUUAAAAACCGCAGUCACUGGGAGUCGGGAGGGAGCCGCCGCUUCGACAUCAAUUCUCCAAACGAAACAUAAAACUUGUUCCUAUGAAUGAAGAGGAGAUGCUGGAAGGUCGAGCAGAAGCCUCUUAACCAACAACCGAUAUCAGUAUAAUAUAACAACAUAACUUUCUCAACUUUA